AACGAACGCUGGCGGCAGGCUUAACACAUGCAAGUCGAACGCAUCGCAAGAUGAGUGGCAGACGGGUGAGUAACGCGUGGGAAUCUACCCAGUUCUACGGAACAACAGUUGGAAACGACUGCUAAUACCGUAUACGCCCUACGGGGGAAAGAUUUAUCGGAAUUGGAUGAGCCCGCGUAAGAUUAGCUAGUUGGUGGGGUAAUGGCCUACCAAGGCGACGAUCUUUAGCUGGUCUGAGAGGAUGAUCAGCCACACUGGGACUGAGACACGGCCCAGACUCCUACGGGAAGCAGCAGUGGGGAAUAUUGGACAAUGGGCGCAAACCUGAUCCAGCCAUGCCGCGUGAGUGAUGAAGGCCUUAGGGUUGUAAAGCUCUUUCACCGAUGAAGAUAAUGACGGUAGUCGGAGAAGAAGCCCCGGCUAACUUCGUGCCAGCAGCCGCCGUAAAAC
rnacentral:rRNA from 1 species